rfam:Streptomyces agglomeratus strain 6-3-2 1, whole genome shotgun sequence.
ACACGGGACGCAGUGACAGACUGUGCACGACCCGGGCGGCAGGACCCAGGAAGCCGGUGCGAAUCCGGCACGGUCCCGCCACUGUGACCAGUCAUGACGACCGCCACGGCCAUCGCCAUGCCUGGAAGCCAGGAACUGACCUGCCGCCUUCCGCACCA